CGGCCUGAGGUCGGACGAGGCUACCCGCUGAAUUUAAGCAUAUUACUAAGCGGAGGAAAAGAAACUAACGAGGAUUCCCUCAGUAACGGCGAGUGAAGCGGGACGAGCCCAGAGCCGAAUCCGGCCGCUUAUGGAGCGGACGGAAUUUGC
rnacentral:ncRNA from 1 species